CCCCGCGAGUGGAUAAACGCAUCCUUAUCCACUUGACCCCUCCUCUCACCCGUCCUGCUCUCUCCCUCUUGGUCACUACUCACUCCCUCUCCUCCCCUCUCGUCCCUGCCCCCUCUCCCUAUCGUUUCUCCAUUGCCACAGCAGAGAAGGUGGCGGUGAUGGCAUCAGUGGCUCCCGCGGGCCGGAUCCGGCGAUGGCAGUGGCGUCGGCGGCUCCCGCUGGCGAAUCCGGCGGCGGCGGUGUUUCUGGCAGGUGGAUCUAGCGGUUCUCUACCCCCUCGUCCUCACCCUCCGUGCCCAAGCUUCUCCCGCGGCUGCAGCGGUGGCAUCGGCGCUCCUGCAGGCAGAUCCGGCGGAGGUGGCGGCGACGGUGUUUCCAGUGGGUGUAUCUAGCGGUCCUCUACCCCCUCCUUCUCUGCCGCAAGCUUCUCUCGCAGAUCAGGCGGCGGCGGCGGCUUCUACCUUCGAUCCAUUGGCGACGGCGAUGUCAGCGAGCAGGCGGAUCUGGCCGAGGGGACCUGCCCGCCGCCGCCGACGUCCCCUCGGGCGGAUCUGCUGGUGUUGUUGAUUAGCUUCUGGAAGGUUCUCAAAGAUGUUGUCCUGCCUGUCGGCAUGGCUGGUGAACCUGCGACGCAACCCGCUGGCCCGUCUCCACAUGAACGUCGUCGCCUCCCACCUCCACAAAUACGGGCUCCGGUACGAUGAUCUGUUCGAUGCCUACCAGUACCAUGGCCUCGACAUCAAGGAGGCCCUGGCGCGGCUGCCGCGGGAGGUGGUGGACGCCCACAACCAGCGGCUCAAGCGCACCAUGGACCUCUCCACGAAGCACCAGUACCUCCCCGCCGAUGAGCAGGCGAUGCAGACAACAUUAAGAGGCUAUUUAUCUGAUGCCUACCUAUCCAGCCACCGUGUUUGGCGAGAACGACGGCGAUGGGAUAAGCCUACUACUUUAUUUCAAGCUAUCUGGCAGUUUUGACAAGGAAAUUUCUCCUCAACUAAAACAAUCAAUCAAGAAGCAUGGUUUGCUAGCUAGACCUAUUGUAUAUCCUUUGCUGGUAUUAUAUUAGAUGAUGGAAAGCAGAUGCCUACCUAUCCAGCCACCUUGUUUGGCGAGAACGACGGAGAUGGGGAAGCCUACUGCUUUAUUUCAGCUAUCUGACAGUUUUGACAAGGAAAUUCCUCCUCAACUAAAACAAUCUAUGAAGGUAUAUUCAGAUUGCUUGCAUUUUCUUCUCACCCUUUUUCAGUGCCCCUUGGCCAAACUGCUGAUGGCUACUUUGUUAUACUACAGAAGAUUGGUUUGUUAGACCUACUGUUUAUCCUUUGUUGGUAUAUUAGAUUAGAUGAUGGAAGGGUCUUUCUUAGGCUCGGUACAAUGGGACCUGUACUAAGUAAGUUACGAUACAUGAACUGGCAGAGAUGGUACUGUGUUGGCGCUCUAUUCAAGUUCCACAUACUUUGGUACUUAACCCAGGAAAUCAAUAUAACAUGGUGCUUCAAAAAAAUUGCAGAUUAAUCAAUAUAACAUGGUGCUUCAAAAAAAUUGCAGAUUAGAUCAAUUCAUUAAUUUCAUGCUACUAUGAUAUGAUGUCAUAUUAACUUUGUUACCUAGAAUUUCUUGAAUUAUAUAAAUCUAAUGAUAUUGUUAUAGCUGUGAUUGGAACUCAGAAACUUCAACUACCAAGACAAGAAUGGUUAGUAAUGUCGCAUUCCUCUAAAUGUUUUUUUGUUGGGAGUUUAUGCAAACUGCUUAGAAUAUUUGAUGUUGUCCUUCCAAAUCAUUACACAAAUGCAUCAAAAUAUGUUCUGUCUUUGUUGAUGGUUGCUGAUGAACUUAUGGCCCUGAGAAUACUUACAAAUGCAUUUUGUAUGUUCAGGCAUUGUGAAUUUGUGAUCCCCAAUACAAUUGAAGUUGUUCACGGAGCUGUUCUUGGCACGAUGGCUUCUUUGGUGAUGGAGCAGAACUCUUUGAAUGUUUUUUUUAUCACACCACAAUAACAAAUUUUAUUUGUGGUACCAGUUUUGUUUGUAUAUAUAUAGGAUAGGAUGUGUGCAGCGUUCUUGUUGUGUUUGGAUGUAAUAUGGCGGGGGAGUUCCUA